rnacentral:misc_RNA from 1 species
GGAAGGAUCAUUAACACGUUAUCCACGUAUCAACCAACGAGAACUGUUUUAAACUCUCCCCUCCUCAGAAUGGAUUGCGAGCUUGCUUAGAGUUAUUGAAUGGGAUGCUUGCGUCAGGCUCUACUCGCUUUCCACUUGAACGUAGAAAUACGUUUGGGUGGUCAAUCGUAUCUACUGGGAGGGCUCCUCUUACUGUUCAGUCUCCAUUCAUUGACUUUUUCAGUAGGAAACCAAUUUUACAAAUUUCACCCACUUUUUGCUAGUUGACUUUUCUAUGUUGCAUCUCUUUGCUUCGGCAAUAAGGUGUACACGUUUAAUUAUUUGAACGUUAAAAAUACAACUCUUAGCAAUGGAUAUCUUGGUUCUCGCAACGAUGAAGAACGCAGCGAAAUGCGAUACGUAAUGCGAAUUGCAGAAUUCAGUGAAUCAUCAAAUCUUUGAACGCAAAUUGCGCUCUUGGGUAGCCCUAGGAGCACACCUCUCUCAGUAUCGGUUCAAACAACUCUCAGCAGCGUGUUGAAAUUUAUUUCUAUACGUGUUGGCUGGAUAAUGAGAGUCUGAGUGCUUGCACGCAGUCUCUUUAAGUACAUGGAAUAAAUAAAAACUAACGAUCAGUUCUGUUAAUUUAUUAGCAGAUAGUCAAUUCUUGACUGUUGUUCGAUAGUGACGUGAAUAUUGGCCUUCGUGGUCUUCUUUUUUACGUGUAUCUAUUGAAUGAUAAUUAAAGUCGAAAAGUGGCGAAAGUUUGGAUAGGUUAUUUAUGUGAGAAAACCAUAGGAUUUGUAGUAUAAAUUAAUUUUUAUCUAUGGGUCUGAAUUUUGAUCUGAGAUGAAGUGAGACAACCCCCUGAAUUUAAGCAUAUUAAUAAGGGGAGGAAAAGAAACUAACAAGGAUUCCCCCAGUAACGGCGAGUGAAGCGGGAAGAGCUCAAUUUGAAAAUCGAUUUCCUAGACAGGACAUCGAGUUGUAUCCUAUAGACGUACUAUCAGCUGAAACCUGGGUAUAAGUUCUUUGGAAUGAGACGCGAUUCAGGGUGAGAGCCCCGUUUACGAUCCAAAGUUUUCAGCGUACGAUGUAUGUUCAUCGAGUCGAGUUGUUUGGGAUUGCAGCUCUAAAUGGGUGGUAAGUUUCAUCUAAAGCUAAAUAAUGGCGAGAGACCGAUAGCGAACAAGUACCGUGAGGGAAAGAUGAAAAGAACUUUGAAAAGAGAGUUAAAAGUACUUGAAAUUGCUAAGAGGGAAGCGCUAGAAACCAGUGAUACGCUGAGUCAAUCGCUUUUGGCCCCCCUAGACUGCGUAUGCAAUGGGUAACCUUGCGUGCGUAUUCGAAAAGGUGGUUAUGAGUUUAUGAUUUAGUGUCAGUCAAGAUCAAUUCGGAUUGUGGGAGAAGGUAGUGAGAAAGGUAGGAGGGCAACCUCUGUUAUAUUCUUAUUACUCUACCUCGGCCUGGAUUGAGGAAGUAAUGGUGCGCCGCUUGCGGCUUGGUCCUGCGUUCCUAUGGUCUUAUUUGCUCUGAUAGCAAUGCUAUCUUUGUGGAGAAGGGUUGUACUGGCGUAGUGAUUCGAUGUGCCAUAACGAUCUUGUACGAAAUGGUUUCUAUCGACCCGUCUUGAAACACGGACCAAGGAGUCUAACAUCUAUGCAAGUAUUUGGGUGCAAAACCCUGAUGCGUAAUGAAAGUAAAGGUAGCCUUGUGUUACUGAGGUAGGAAUCCUGCAAGGGAGGCACUAUCGACCGAUCAUCACUUGUGAAAGAUUUGAGUAAGAGCAUAUCUGUUGGGACCCGAAAGAUGGUGAUCUAUGCCUGAACAGGGUGAAGCCAGGGGAAACUCUGGUGGAGGCUCGUAGCGAUACUGACGUGCAAAUCGUUCGUCUGAUUUGGGUAUAGGGGCGAAAGACUAAUCGAACCAUCUAGUAGCUGGUUCCCUC